rnacentral:tRNA from 1 species
GCGGCCGUGGCGGAAUUGGCAGACGCGCUAGAUUCAGGUUCUAGUGUCCACAAGACGUGCAGGUUCAACUCCUGUCGGCCGCA